GACGUAGGGCGCGAGCGUUGUCCGGAUUUAUUGGGCGUAAAGAGCUCGUAGGCGGCUUGUUGCGUCAGCUGUGAAAACCCGCAGCUCAACUGUGGGCUUGCAGCUGAUACGGGCAGGCUUGAGUUCGGUAGGGGAGACUGGAAUUCCUGGUGUAGCGGUGAAAUGCGCAGAUAUCAGGAGGAACACCGGUGGCGAAGGCAGGUCUCUGGGCCACUACUGACGCUGAGAAGCGAAAGCAUGGGGAGCGAACAGG
rnacentral:rRNA from 1 species